rnacentral:rRNA from 1 species
GACGAACGCUGGCGGCGUGCUUAAUACAUGCAAGUCGAGCGAGGUUACUGUUUCGGAUCCCUUCGGGGUGAAGAAGCUUUAACCUAGCGGCGGACGGGUGAGUAACGCGUGGGUAACCUACCCCAAAGUCCGGGAUAACAGCGGGAAACCGCUGCUAAUACCGGAUGCCUUUACCUUGGGGCAUCUUGAGGUAAGAAAGGCAACGCUUUGGGAUGGGCCCGCGUCCCAUUAGCUAGUUGGUGAGGUAACGGCUCACCAAGGCGACGAUGGGUAGCCGGCCUGAGAGGGUGGACGGCCACACUGGGACUGAGACACGGCCCAGACUCCUACGGGAGGCAGCAGUAGGGAAUAUUGCGCAAUGGACGGAAGUCUGACGCAGCGACGCCGCGUGAGCGAUGAAGGUCUUCGGAUCGUAAAGCUCUGUCCUUGGGGAAGAAGGCGAAAGCUUGACGGUACCCAAGAAGAAAGCCCCGGCUAACUACGUGCCAGCAGCCGCGGUAAGAGUACUCUAU